AGGUAAAUGUUUCAUGAUAAGAAUUUCAUGUCUUUUGUAUUAAAGAAUUAAAUGGAUGAAAUAUGAAGUUUUAUUAAAAGAAAAAGGGGUGAAAAGAACAAAGUUUUGUCCAUCUUUGUUCAUCAUAGCUGAAAGUUAGAGAAGAGAAAGGAGAGGAGAAAGCUCUUGAGUAUUCGGUCAUUAGGAGGAGGAAAAUUGAAGGAAAUCCCCAACCAUAGUAGGCUUGGAGCUGUGAGGGAAUUCGGAGUGGCCACCUGUUCUAAAAGUUUGGUUUUCUUCUGGUGAACUGGACAUUCUUUUAUUUACGUUUGAAGUUUUGGGUUUUUAAAUGUAAUAAGGCCGCUUAAUUAUUUUUUAUGGUUUUAAUAUAUAUUACUAAGAUAGGUAUUACUUAUUUUAACUGUUGAAAUUGGAUAGCUUUAGGGCCCGUUUUCAAAAACAACAAUUGAUUUCAAAAUAACACGACAAUAAGCAAAGCUUCCGCAAUGAAAGUAUUUUCCAAAAUUAAUCACUUUUCCUAAAAAUGACUUAAUCGAAUCGGUUUCCUAGAAAUAUCCAUGACGUUAAGGUGUGGCAAUG